UUUAGCAGUUCCUGCACACGUUGUCUACGCGUGGCACUGGCUGAGAAAUCCGUAUAACUGCUCUAGUAGCGCGCCGGAAACGUUUGUCGGCAAGGCAUCGACAAACUUAGCAGUGCUUCCAAGAAGGCUAGCACGCGUUGCUAUACGUCCGCAGCGCACCGAAGAGCCUACACCUUUGAGGAAUCCCGCUUCGCUGCAUUGGUAUGGCGAAAACACGGUCAAUUCAAGCGGCAGCUGCCAAGUGUGCUUCUAUCGAAAGAUCACCAGAAACGUCCCGCACUGAAGAUAAACGGGACUCAUCCGCCAUGUCUUCAGUCGAUGAGGCGCGCCAUGAAAAUGAAAUACAAGCCGAGCUCCAAGGCAAGCAAGCGGAUAUCGGUUGCCUGGAAUUCAGCUCGUCCGAGAAGAUUCUGGGCAACAAGAGGGAGCGGCGUGUACACUUACUUGCACGCAGUGAUGAGAAGCCGCACGCGUGUACUGUGUGCGGCAAGAGAUUCGCUUACAAAUCGUCUAUGGCGAAACACGCUCGAGUGCACACGGGUGAAAGGCCACACGAAUGCUGGCUGUGCCCUGCGACGUUCUCCCAUUCGUUCUCUCUUACGAACCACGUGCGGACACACACCGGUGAGAGGCCACACGAAUGCACCCAAUGCGAGCGGAGACUCGCCGCCAAAGCGACCCUGUGGCGCCACAUGCUCGUUCAUUCGAGAGAGAAGCGUUUCGGCUGUGGUUUUUGUGCCAAGAAGUUUUCUAUUAAACAAAACCUCGUG